CCUACGGGAGGCUGCAGUGGGGAAUAUUGGACAAUGGGGGGAACCCUGAUCCAGCCAUGCCGCGUGUGUGAAGAAGGCCCUUGGGUUGUAAAGCACUUUCAGUGAGGAAGAACGCCUGGUGGUUAAUACCCAUCAGGAAAGACAUCACUCACAGAAGAAGCACCGGCUAACUCCGUGCCAGCAGCCGCGGUAAUACGGAGGGUGCGAGCGUUAAUCGGAAUUACUGGGCGUAAAGCGCGCGUAGGUGGCUUGAUAAGCCGGUUGUGAAAGCCCCGGGCUCAACCUGGGAACGGCAUCCGGAACUGUCAAGCUAGAGUGCAGGAGAGGAAGGUAGAAUUCCCGGUGUAGCGGUGAAAUGCGUAGAGAUCGGGAGGAAUACCAGUGGCGAAGGCGGCCUUCUGGACUGACACUGACACUGAGGUGCGAAAGCGUGGGUAGCAAACAGGAUUAGAUACCCUUGUAGUC
rnacentral:rRNA from 1 species